rnacentral:snoRNA from 1 species
UUACUCUCAGGGUUAUACCUGGAGAGUUUCCAGUACUCUACCAGUCUUGACUACAGGAGGGAGAGGCAAGCAGAGGCAUAUACAUUCCAUUCCUAGUUGGGCAGUGGCUAGUGAGUGGAAGGUCAUCUGCUACAAGU